rnacentral:rRNA from 1 species
UACGUAGGGGGCAAGCGUUGUCCGGAUUCAUUGGGCGUAAAGAGCGUGUAGGCGGCCAGGUAGGUCGGUUGUGAAAACUGGAGGCUCAACCUUCAGAGGUCGACCGAAACCAUCUGGCUAGAGUCCGGGAGAGGAGAGUGGAAUUCCUGGUGUAGCGGUGAAAUGCGUAGAUAUCUGGAGGAAUACCGGUGGCGAAGGCGGCAUCCUGGACCGGCAUUGACGCUGAGGAGCGAAAGCUAGGGGAGCAAACAGG